UACGUAGGUGGCGAGCGUUGUCCGGAAUUACUGGGUGUAAAGGGCGUGUAGGCGGGAAGGCAAGUCAGAUGUGAAAUUCCAGGGCUCAACCCUGGCGCUGCAUCUGAAACUGCGUUUCUUGAGUGUCGGAGAGGAAAGUGGAAUUCCCAGUGUAGCGGUGAAAUGCGUAGAGAUUGGGAGGAACACCAGUGGCGAAGGCGACUUUCUGGACGAUAACUGACGCUGAGGCGCGAAAGCGUGGGGAGCAAACAGG
rnacentral:rRNA from 1 species